rnacentral:lncRNA from 1 species
AGUUUCAGACUCUUACAUUUAUGUCUUAUCAAAAACACAACACUUAUCAGUAAUGAACCAUUCAUAAUUAAUUUUAGUGCCACUGCGUGUCAGUGUAUGAAUGAAUGAAAUUUAAGCAAGACACAUAGAAGAGACAGUUUUGUUAAAGGGCUGGAAAACAGUAUGGAAGUUGACUCAUGACAACUGGACUUCUUUUCUUUUUGGUUUGAAGCAUUCCACUGCUGUUUUCUUUUUUCUUUUUCUUCUUCAAACCAAAAACAAAAGUCCAAUUGCUAUGAUUCAACUUCCAGACAGUUCUACCUGGAGAACUGAGAAUCUUCAUCAACAAUCUGGGUGAAUAUUGUGCACUAACGAAAGGAGAAGAAGUUCUGAACUCUGCAACCAGCCCUUUGCGAUUAAACCAAAAUUCUGCAUUUGCACAAGACACUCACCGAGGAGACCGGAGAAGCUAAACCACAACAACACUGACCUGCUUCAGCAUGUGAUGCAAAGGCAAAUAUUAGCAUCAUCCAAGGCCAUCUCAAGAGAUCUAACAUCUGUGAGGUCCAUCAGCUCUUGUCUUAGAGGAAAUUGGGGGAUUGCACCAAAGGAGAAGGAAGGAAGAGACUGGUAAAGAUAACUUGAUCUCUGGAGUUUUUAAAAGGAAGGAAAAUAAAUAAACAUGACCUCCCCUCCCAAGCAACAGAAUCAAAAUCCCAAAAUUCCCUGACUAUUUUACUUCCUUACCUCAUGCAAGAUUUUAAGCCUAAGGUAAGUUCUACCAAUCUUUGUUUUGAG